rnacentral:misc_RNA from 1 species
UCCCGGUUUCCCGGGCAGUCCCGCCAGAGUGCUCGCCGAAGCGAUAGCAACUGACAGCAAGAGUUUCGCUCGUUAGAGGACUUAACCAAACAUCUCACGACACGAGCUGACGACAACCAUGCAGCACCUGUGUAUUUGUCCGAGUAAACCCGGAAGACUGUGUUUCCACAGCUGUCAAAUACAUGUCAAGCCCAGGUAAGGUUCCUCGCGUAGUAUCGAAUUAAACCACAUGUUCCACCGCUUGUGCGGACCCCCGUCAAUUCCUUUGAGUUUUAAUCUUGCGAUCGUAGUUCCCAGGCGGAUCACUUAACGCGUUAGCUGCGAUACUGAUUCCACAAUGUGAAACCAACAUCUAGUGAUCAUCGUUUACGGCGUGGACUAC